rnacentral:lncRNA from 1 species
UGAAUAGUGACGUAUACGUGAAUAGUAACCCCGACACAACAAGUUCCAAAUUUGAUAAAAAAGUUCACCAAUACUUCGGCAUAAUGAUAUUGAAGAAAAAAUAUCAUUUAAGAAGAAAAUAAUACCCCUUACCUCAAAAUAACCGUACUUCUGACUGAAUUUCGGUAUAGUGCUGACAGAAACCCGCACCGUAUAGCAACACUCAAAGUAUACUCACAAGAAUACGCUCGAUAAUUUAGAGAGAGAAAGAGAGAAAACUUAGUUUCUGGUGUGAUUUUCAAUUCUAACUUAGCCCUCUAUUUAUAGGAAAAUGUUAGAACGCCAAAGGAGACUAAAUUAAUAAAUUAUUAUUAUUUACCAAAUAUUCAAGCCCACCACCAAGGAAUCUGAUUUUAGCCACCAACCACAUGUUAAAGAUGCUCACCAACCUUUGAAAAACGUUUUUCUUGAAAAUAAUAAUUAAAAUUUCCAAAAAUCAAUUAUUUCGGAACUCCGAAACAUCAAUAAUUCACAAUAAAUAUCCCUUUUAUCAGAAAAUUCAAAUCUCGCGACUUUUUAUAGGAAUUUCAAUUCUCUACAACUUUGCAGAAGAAAAUUUUUCCAAAUUCCAAACAGAAAUUAUCCAAAAUCCACAAACGGGCAAUUUUACAGUCUAUAAUAAAUUUUCGGUCAAGAAUCGUGUCCACCGACACACAAAACAUAUGUUAAACAUUUAAUGCCACAAAAUACUCUACCUCCUCAUAUACUCAUAUAUCCCACAUUCAUUAUAAAAAUAUCACCGUUAAUAUAUUAUUAAAAUAAUAUAUUUAAAUGAAUUAUUUUAUCAGAAAAAGAUAAAAUAUUAAUUUUCAAC